rnacentral:rRNA from 1 species
AGAAUCAACGCUGGCGGCGUGCCUAACACAUGCAAGUCGAACGCGACUGGGGACUUCGGUUCCCGGUUGAGUGGCGAACGGGUGAGUAACACGCGGGUGAUCUACCUUCGAGUGGGGGAUAACGUUCCGAAAGGAACGCUAAUACCGCAUGACGUUCUGGGUUUGAAGACCUGGAAACCAAAGCCGGGGACCGCAAGGCCUGGCGCUUGGAGAGGAGCCCGCGUCCGAUUAGCUAGUUGGCGGGUAACGGCCCACCAAGGCGACGAUCGGUA